GAUGAACGCUGGCGGCGUGCCUAAUACAUGCAAGUCGAGCGAACGGACGAGAAGCUUGCUUUUCUUAUGUUAGCGGCGGACGGGUGAGUAACACGUGGAUAACCUACCUAUAAGACUGGGAUAACUUCGGGAAACCGGAGCUAAUACCGGAUAAUAUUUUGAACCGCAUGGUUCAAAAGUGAAAGACGGUCUUGCUGUCACUUAUAGAUGGAUCCGCGCUGCAUUAGCUAGUUGGUAAGGUAACGGCUUACCAAGGCAACGAUGCAUAGCCGACCUGAGAGGGUGAUCGGCCACACUGGAACUGAGACACGGUCCAGACUCCCACGGGAGGCAGCAGUAGGGAAUCUUCCGCAAUGGGCGAAAGCCUGACGGAGCAACGCCGCGUGAGUGAUGAAGGUCUUCGGAUCGUAAAACUCUGUUAUUAGGGAAGAACAUAUGUGUAAGUAACUGUGCACAUCUUGACGGUACCUAAUCAGAAAGCCACGGCUAACUACGUG
rnacentral:rRNA from 1 species